GAGGACACGCUGGCGGCGUGGAUUAGGCAUGCAAGUCGAACGGUAUCAUCCUUUCGGGGGUGAGAGAGUGGCGAACUGGUGAGUAACACGUAGGUUAUCUACCCUCAAGACGGGGACAACCCAGGGAAACUUGGGCUAAUACCGGAUGUGAGCAACUUUUAGUUGUUUGAAAGGUGGCGUAAGCUGUCGCUUGGGGAUGAGCCUGCGUCCUAUUAGUUAGUUGGUGAGGUAACGGCUCACCUAGGCAAUGAUAGGUAGGCGGCCUUAACGGGUGGUCGCCCACACUGGGAUUGAGAUACGGCCCAGACUCCUACGGGAGGCAGCAGUCGAGAAUAGUCUACAAUGGUCGGAAGACUGAUAGUGCGACGCCGCGUGAACGAUGAAUCCCUUCGGGGUGUAAAGUUCUUUUAUAUGUGAGCAGUGCUUCUUAUAUUAACAGUACGGGAGAGAGAUAUUAGCAUAUGAAUAAGCAACGGCUAACUCCGUG
rnacentral:rRNA from 1 species